rnacentral:rRNA from 1 species
UACAGAGGGUGCGAGCGAUAAUCGGCAUUACUGGGCGUAAAGGGUGCGUCGGUGGUGGCAUAAGUUAGGUGUGAAAGUCCUGGGCUUAACCUGGGGAUUGCGCCUAAUACUGUGAGGCUUGAGUAUUGUAGAGGAAAGUGGAAUUUCCGGUGUAGCGGUGAAAUGCGUAGAUAUCGGAAGGAACAUCAGUGGCGAAGGCGACUUUCUGGACAAAUACUGACACUGAGGCACGAAAGCCUGGGGAGCAAACAGG